GAUGAACGCUGGCGGCGUGCUUAACACAUGCAAGUCGAACGGAAAGGCCCUGCGUUUGUGGGGUGCUCGUGUGGCGAACGGGGGAGUAACACGUGUGUAACCUGCCCUUGACUUUGGGAUAACUUCAGGAAACUGGGGCUAAUACCGGAUAGGAGCUUCUGCUGCGUGGUGGGGGUUGGAAAGUUUCGGCGGUUGUGGAUGGACUCGCGGCUUAUCCGCUGGUUGGUGGGGUAGUGGCUUACCAAGGGUUUGACGGGUAGGCGGCAUGAGAGGUUGGCCGGCCACAUUAGGACUGCGAUACGGCCCAGACUCGUACGGGAGGCAGCAGUCGGGAAUCUUGCACAGUGAGCGGAAGCGUGAUGCAGCAACGCCGCGUGCGGGAUGACGGCCUUCGGGUUGUAAACCGCUUUCGCCUGUGCCGAAGCGUGAGUGACGGUAAUGGGUAAAGAAGCACCGGCUAACUACGUG
rnacentral:rRNA from 1 species